rnacentral:rRNA from 1 species
GACGAACGCUGGCGGCGUGCUUAACACAUGCAAGUCGAACGGAAAGUCCCUGCUGUUGUGGGGUGCUCGAGUGACGAACGGGUGAGUAACACGUGAGUAGCCUUCACUUGCCGUAGGGAUAACUUCAAGCAACUGAGGUUAAUACCGGAUAGUAGCUCCUGCUUCAUGGUGGGGGGUGGAAAGUUUCGGCGGUUGUGGAUGGACUCGCGGCUAAUCAGCUUGUUGGUGGGGUGGUGGCUUACCAAGGCUUCGACGGGGAGCCGGCCUGAGAGGGUGAGCGGCCCCGUUGGGACUGGGAUACGGCACGGACUAGUAUGGGAGGCGGGGGUGGGGAUUAGUGUACUAUGGGCGGAAGCCAGAUGUAGCACCGCCGCGUGGGGGAUGAGGGGCUUGGGGUUGUGAAGUGAUUUCGUCUGUGCCGAAGCGUUAGUGACGGUACUGGGUAAAGAAGCACCGGCUAACUCCGUG